CGUCCCGGCUCACGCGUCCCCCCGCCCGCCCGCCCGCCCGCCCGCCCCCGCUUGUGCCGCCCCUACCAGAGACCCCCAGGAGCAGGAUGUCCUUCCAGGGCAAGAAAAGCAUCCCCCGGAUCACGAGUGACCGCCUUCUGAUCAGAGGUGGGAGGAUCGUGAAUGACGACCAGUCCUUUUACGCUGAUGUGCACGUGGAAGAUGGCUUGAUAAACACUUAGUAUGGUGCCUGGCUCAUAGCAGGUGCUUCCUAAAUACUGGUGCCCACAUCUAUUAGCGCACCUGCUUCCGUUUGUCAAGCUGCUCCGUCCUCUAGUCAAAAAAGUACCAACCAGGGACCUGAGUGGAAAACCACAGGGCGUGGCGUCUGCGUGAGGCUGGACCCUGCAGUGACCGUCCUGAGCUGCGCUGAGUGAUGCUUUGCUCCCUGGCACUCCCGAGGAGCUAGUCCAACAAAUCGGAGAAAACCUCAUCGUCCCUGGGGGCAUCAAGACCAUUGACGCCCACGGCCUGAUGGUCCUUCCUGGUGGCGUUGACGUCCACACAAGGCUGCAGAUGCCUGUCCUGGGCAUGACACCGGCUGACGACUUCUGUCAGGGCACCAAGGCAGCGCUAGCAGGAGGAACC
rnacentral:lncRNA from 10 species